rnacentral:tRNA from 2 species
GGGGGUGUAGUUAAAUGGUAUAACUCCGGUCUCCAAAACCGGUAUCGAGGGUUCGAUUCCUUCCACCCCUGCCA